AUUGAACGCUGGCGGCAGGCUUAACACAUGCAAGUCGAGCGAGCGGCGGACGUGUGAGUUAUGUCUGGGAAACUGCCUUUUGGAGGGGUAUAACUUCUGGAAACGGUAGCUAAUACCGCAUCCCAUCAGAUGUGCCCAGAUGGGAUUAGCGAGUAGGUGGGGUAAUGGCUCACCUAGGCGACGAUCCCUAGCUGGUCUGAGAGGAUGACCAGCCACACUGGAACGGAGACACGGUCCAGACUCCUACGGGAGGCAGCAGUGGGGAAUAUUGCACAAUGGGCGCAAGCCUGAUGCAGCCAUGCCGCGUGUGUGAAGAAGGCCUUCGGGUUGUAAAGUACUUUCAGCGAGGAGGCGUUACUCGCAGAAGAAGCACCGGCUAACUCCGUGCCAGCAGCCGCGGUAAUUC
rnacentral:rRNA from 1 species